AGGAGCACGAAGGUUGGCUAAUCCUGGUCGGACAUCAGGAGGUUAGUGCAAUGGCAUAAGCCAGCUUGACUGCGAGCGUGACGGCGCGAGCAGGUGCGAAAGCAGGUCAUAGUGAUCCGGUGGUUCUGAAUGGAAGGGCCAUCGCUCAACGGAUAAAAGGUACUCCGGGGAUAACAGGCUGAUACCGCCCAAGAGUUCAUAUCGACGGCGGUGUUUGGCACCUCGAUGUCGGCUCAUCACAUCCUGGGGCUGAAGUAGGUCCCAAGGGUAUGGCUGUUCGCCAUUUAAAGUGGUACGCGAGCUGGGUUUAGAACGUCGUGAGACAGUUCGGUCCCUAUCUGCCGUGGGCGCUGGAGAACUGAGGGGGGCUGCUCCUAGUACGAGAGGACCGGAGUGGACGCAUCACUGGUGUUCGGGUUGUCAUGCCAAUGGCACUGCCCGGUAGCUAAAUGCGGAAGAGAUAAGUGCUGAAAGCAUCUAAGCACGAAACUUGCCCCGAGAUGAGUUCUCCCUGACUCCUUGAGAGUCCUGAAGGAACGUUGAAGACGACGACGUUGAUAGGCCGGGUGUGUAAGCGCAGCGAUGCGUUGAGCUAACCGGUACUAAUGAACCGUGAGGCUUAACCUU
rnacentral:rRNA from 1 species